rnacentral:rRNA from 1 species
UACGUAGGGUGCGAGCGUUAAUCGGAAUUACUGGGCGUAAAGCGUGCGCAGGCGGUUCGCUGUGUCCUGUGUGAAAGCCCCGGGCUUAACCUGGGAAUGGCAUGGGAAACUGGCGGGCUGGAGUGUGGCAGAGGGGGGUGGAAUUCCGCGUGUAGCAGUGAAAUGCGUAGAGAUGCGGAGGAACACCGAUGGCGAAGGCAGCCCCCUGGGCUAACACUGACGCUCAGGCACGAAAGUGUGGGGAGCAAACAGG